GUCCACGUUAACAUGGGAUCUGUGUAACUGAAUGGCAGUCUCCCUUCCUAGGCGUGGUAAAGCAAAUUCUUGCUCUUCAGAGAGUCUCUUGUGCUGUUAUCACAAGAGGCAAGAAUAGAAGAAACAUUC